rnacentral:rRNA from 1 species
AGCGAACGCUGGCGGCAGGCCUAACACAUGCAAGUCGAACGCCCCUUCGGGGAAGUGGCGGACGGGUGAGUAACGCGUGGGAACGUGCCCUUUGGUACGGAACAACUGAGGGAAACUUCAGCUAAUACCGUAUGUGCCCUACGGGGGAAAGAUUUAUCGCCACUGGAGCGGCCCGCGUUGGAUUAGCUAGUUGGUGGGGUAAAGGCCCACCAAGGCUACGAUCCAUAGCUGGUCUGAGAGGAUGAUCAGCCACACUGGGACUGAGACACGGCCCAGACUCCUACGGGAGGCAGCAGUGGGGAAUCUUGCGCAAUGGGCGAAAGCCUGACGCAGCCAUGCCGCGUGUAUGAUGAAGGUCUUAGGAUUGUAAAAUACUUUCACCGGGGAAGAUAAUGACGGUACCCGGAGAAGAAGCCCCGGCUAACUUCGUGCCAGCAGCCGCAGUAAGAC